rnacentral:rRNA from 1 species
GGGCCCGCACAAGCGGUGGAGUAUGUGGUUUAAUUCGAUGCAACGCGAAGAACCUUACCAGGGUUUGACAUCCUGCGAAUCUCUUGGAAACGAGAGAGUGCCUUCGGGAGCGCAGUGACAGGUGGUGCAUGGCUGUCGUCAGCUCGUGUCGUGAGAUGUUGGGUUAAGUCCCGCAACGAGCGCAACCCACGUCUUUAGUUGCCAGCAUUUAGUUGGGCACUCUAGAGAGACCGCCGGUGAUAAACCGGAGGAAGGUGUGGAUGACGUCAAGUCAUCAUGCCCCUUACAUCCUGGGCUACACACGUACUACAAUGCUACGGACAAAGAGCAGCAAGUUCGCGAGGACAAGCAAAUCUCUUAAAGCUUGUCUCAGUUCGGAUAGGAGUCUGCAACUCGACUCCUUGAAGUUGGAGUCGCUAGUAAUCG